ensembl:lncRNA
AUUGUGCUGAGACACACUGAGAAUCUUCUCCUUGUGAGAGCUCCCUAGAUUGAUUUCAAACAACAGUGCUCACCAGGAGCGCAAGCUGAAUUCUAAAUAAUGACAUCAAGACUUUGAGUAGCAGAGGGAGCUGUCAUGGAAUGGCCAACAAAAAGAAAAAAGAACACCAUUACGAGAGAGAAGGCUUAAUGGAAUUUUUGAAAGCGUAGAUGAAACCACUCUAGAUUGCUCUAGAUUGCUCUGAUUUGGUAUGUGAGUGAACACCGGACAGGAGACUGAGCAGGGCUUAUGCAUGGACACUGCUGGACACUGCUGCAUCUGUUCCAUCCAUGAGAUCAGACAAACCAUCUAAAAGAUUUAUCUGUUUCCUUGUGAGUGAGUCAGUUUGCUCCUGCUUUCAUCAUCUCAUGUGGUCAGAAGACAACACAUCACAGAAGGUCAGGAAUGGAAAGUUAGGCAUCACAGAGAUGAGACCCCAUGAUCAUGAUCGUGUGCUGCUCACUUUCCCCUCUGGAGCCAAUUUGCAUGAACCCAGUGUUCCAACUAGGGUGGCUGAGCAGACAAAAGAUGUGAUUUUCGCUGCGCUUGAUCUUAUUCAUCUUUGACGCAAUGGCACCCGGGGGAAUUCUGGUUGCCAAGAACAUUAGAAGAG